rnacentral:rRNA from 1 species
AUUGAACGCUGGCGGCAGGCUUAACACAUGCAAGUCGAGCGGGGUGAUGGUGCUUGCACUAUCACUUAGCGGCGGACGGGUGAGUAAUGCUUAGGAAUCCGCCUAUUAGUGGGGGACAACAUCUCGAAAGGGAUGCUAAUAGCGCAUACGUCCUACGGGAGAAAGCAGGGGAUCACUUGUGACCUUGCGCUAAUAGAUGAGCCGAAGUCGGAUUAGCUAGUUGGUGGGGUAAAGGCCUACCAAGGCGACGAUCUGUAGCGGGUCUGAGAGGAUGAUCCGCCACACUGGGACUGAGACACGGCCCAGACUCCUACGGGAGGCAGCAGUGGGGAAUAUUGGACAAUGGGGGGAACCCUGAUCCAGCCAUGCCGCGUGUGUGAAGAAGGCCUUAUGGUUGUAAAGCACUUUAAGCGAGGAGGAGGCUCUUUUGGUUAAUACCCAAGAUGAGUGGACGUUACUCGCAGAAUAAGCACCGGCUAACUCUGUGCCAGCCGCCGCCGUAA